rnacentral:rRNA from 1 species
GAUGAACGCUAGCUACAGGCUUAACACAUGCAAGUCGAGGGGCAGCAUGAACUUAGCUUGCUAAGUUUGAUGGCGACCGGCGCACGGGUGAGUAACACGUAUCCAACCUUCCGUUUACUCAGGGAUAGCCUUUCGAAAGAAAGAUUAAUACCUGAUAGUAUGGUGAGAUUGCAUGAUAACACCAUUAAAGAUUUAUUGGUAAACGAUGGGGAUGCGUUCCAUUAGGUAGUAGGCGGGGUAACGGCCCACCUAGCCUGCGAUGGAUAGGGGUUCUGAGAGGAAGGUCCCCCACAUUGGAACUGAGACACGGUCCAAACUCCUACGGGAGGCAGCAGUGAGGAAUAUGGUCAAUGGGCGAGAGCUGAACCAGCCAAGUAGCGUGAAGGAUGAA